CAUCAGGAACCAUGCGAAAAAGCUCUACCCAACCCCGCCAGGUCCGGAAGGAAGCAACGGUCAGUAGGGUCUUUUUGCGCCGUGGACCUCCUGAUGGUG
rnacentral:SRP_RNA from 1 species